GACGAACGCUGGCGGCGUGCUUAACACAUGCAAGUCGAACGGAGUGGCGAACGGGUGAGUAACCCGUUGGUGAUCUGCCUUGCACUUCGGGAUAAGCUUGGGACACUGGGUAUAAUACCGGAUAGUGCAAGAUGAGCUCGCGGCCUAUCAGCUUGUUGGUGGGGUAAUGGCCUACCAAGGCGUCGACGGGUAGCCGUCCUGAGAGGGUGUACGGCCACAUGGGGACUGAGAUACGGCCCAGACUCCUACGGGAGGCAGCAGUGGGGAAUAUUGCACAAUGGGCGGAAGCCGGAUGCAGCGACGCCGCGUGGGGGAUGAAGGCCUUCGGGGUGUAAACUCCGUUCGACAGGGACGCGGUACAUGUAUAAGAAGCACCGGCUAACUACGUGCCAGCAGCCGCGGUAAUUC
rnacentral:rRNA from 1 species